rnacentral:lncRNA from 1 species
UUCGUUGAUCUGUCAAUCAGCAUACUCAGGAGUAGCGUGAAAGGGUUGUGGAUUGCCAGAACUCUGUCAGAUUCCACCAUGCAUCAAGAUUAGGACUAUGCAAAUUCAAGGGAAGCAAGAGGAACAUCGGGUAACUGAUUUCAUCUGCUACCAACACAAAUAAUUUCCAGUAAUAGAACUCAUCUACUACAAAUCAUACUGUGCAACACCCAUACAUCUCAUGUAUUCUAGAUCGCAACCUCCAUCUACACAUAGCACGGAUCUCAUGCCACUAUAUGGGAAUGCAGCAGAAAACAUAAUAUUUUGACCUACGCACCAGCCAAGCACCACUAUGAAGAUGCAUACAAGGUUUGAUCUGAUCGUUACUGACUCGUAGCGCAACGGAAGUAGAGUCGAUGUAGAUCGUUGGUGCAGAUCCACGCAUCUAGGACUUAUAACCUCCAAACCGCGAGGAUGUUUUCCCUCAUCUGCCCCUCGGACAACCCUUCGGGAACCGGUCAGACAGUCCCUCGGACAGUGUCACGGGCAGCCCUUCGGGAGGACCUCCAAAACUCGGACGGUCACUCGGACAACCCUUCAGGGGGACACACGAACAGCCUCUCGGGCAUAAGAUCGAACCUACGACCUCUCUACGGGGUUGCACACAUACGGUGUCACCUAUCCAGUAGGGCUUCACCGUCGAGAACUACUUCAACCGGAACCCAUACAACUUUUCGGCUCUACAAAACUAUUUCAUGGGAGGGGGAGAAUAAAGCCAGAUCAUGCAUGGCAUUUGUGAGAGAG